AAAGAAUAGCUAAUUAAGUAAAUGUUUUGAAAACAUUUGAUAAGAUUAGGUGGUUAAAAAUAAU
rnacentral:tRNA from 1 species